rnacentral:misc_RNA from 1 species
GAUGAAGAACGCAGCGAAAUGCGAUAACUAAUGUGAAUUGCAGAAUUCAGUGAAUCAUCGAGUCUUUGUACGCACAUUGCGCCCCCUGGUAUUCCGGGGGGCAUGCCUGUCCGAGCGUCAUUGCUGCCCUCAAGCACGGCUUGUGUGUUGGGCUCCGUCCCCCCGGGGACGGGCCCGAAAGGCAGCGGCGGCACCGAGUCCGGUCCUCGAGCGUAUGGGGCUUUGUCACCCGCUCUGUAGGCCCGGCCGGCGCCAGCCGACAACCCAUCAUCCUUUUCAGGUUGACCUCGGAUCAGGUAGGGAUACCCGCUGAACUUAAGCAUAUCAAUAAGCGGAGGA